GUUCAAGAUGUAUCUUUAUCAUAUUCAUUUGUACCUUACGAAGGAGUUGUACAAAUUACCACUGGUAGUUGGACCAAGAAUGUUUGUUGCCAAAGUUUAAAUAGCCAGGCCCAGUAUAUUGUUUGUCGUCACCUAGGAUACGACGCGGAAAGCUAUCUUGUUAAUGUGUCCGCUCCAACAGAUGCCAAAGAUGAAUCAUUUUCUGGAAAUAUAGACUGUAAUGGUGGAGAGAAGUACUUAUCCCAGUGUUCAAUUACUGCUUCGGCCAACGAAAGUUGUUCUGGGUUAUCAUACAUACGAUGUAAGUGCAUUGGUAAGAUAAAACGAAUAGGAUGCAGAUGGCAAAGAAAGG